GCAUCCAGAACCCCAGCCAGCUAGAUGUGGUGGUUCAUAUGCCGGUCUGGGGACAAACGGGGCUAUAGCAGAACAGUGGACAGGCUGGUUUCUAUUUGUCCUGGAGCCUGUCCCUACAGCUCUGCUACACUU